UUGACAUCCGAUGCUAUUCUAGAGAUAGAAGUUACUUCGGUACAUCGGUGACAGGUGGUGCAUGGUUGUCGUCAGCUCGUGUCGUGAGAUGUUGGGUUAAGUCCCGCAACGAGCGCAACCCCUAUUGUUAGUUGCCAUCAUUCAGUUGGGCACUCUAGCGAGACUGCCGGUAAUAAACCGGAGGAAGGUGGGGAUGACGUCAAAUCAUCAUGCCCCUUAUGACCUGGGCUACACACGUGCUACAAUGGUUGGUACAACGAGUUGCGAGUCGGUGACGGCGAGCUAAUCUCUUAAAGCCAAUCUCAGUUCGGAUUGUAGGCUGCAACUCGCCUACAUGAAGUCGGAAUCGCUAGUAAUCGCGGAUCAGCACGCCGCGGUGAAUACGUUCCCGGGCCUU
rnacentral:rRNA from 1 species